rnacentral:rRNA from 1 species
CAAUAGCGUAUAUUUAAGUUGUUGCAGUUAAAAAGCUCGUAGUUGGAUUUCGGUUGAGAACGGCCGGUCCGCCGUUUGGUGUGCACUGGCUGGUUUCAACUUCCUGUAGAGGACGCGCUCUGGCUUCACGGCUGGACGCGGAGUCUACGCGGUUACUUUGAAAAAAUUAGAGUGUUCAAAGCGGGCUUACGCUUGAAUAUUUCAGCAUGGAAUAACACUAUAGGACUCCUGUCCUAUUUCGUUGGUCUCGGGACGGGAGUAAUGAUUAAGAGGAACAGUUGGGGGCAUUCGUAUUUCAUUGUCAGAGGUGAAAUUCUUGGAUUUAUGAAAGACGAACUUCUGCGAAAGCAUUUGCCAAGGAUGUUUUCAUUAA